rnacentral:rRNA from 1 species
GACGAACGCUGGCGGCGUGCCUAAUACAUGCAAGUCGAGCGGAGUUAGAGAAGCUUGCUUCUCUAACUUAGCGGCGGACGGGUGAGUAACACGUGGGCAACCUACCUUGUAGAUUGGGAUAACUCCGGGAAACCGGGGCUAAUACCGAAUAAUCCAUUUUGCUUCAUGGCGAGAUGUUAAAAGGCGGCUUCGGCUGUCACUACGAGAUGGGCCCGCGGCGCAUUAGCUAGUUGGUAGGGUAAUGGCCUACCAAGGCGACGAUGCGUAGCCGACCUGAGAGGGUGACCGGCCACACUGGGACUGAGACACGGCCCAGACUCCUACGGGAGGCAGCAGUAGGGAAUCUUCCACAAUGGACGAAAGUCUGAUGGAGCAACGCCGCGUGAGUGAAGAAGGUUUUCGGAUCGUAAAACUCUGUUGUAAGGGAAGAACACGUACGAGAGUAACUGCUCGUACCUUGACGGUACCUUAUUAGAAAGCCACGGCUAACUACGUG